CUCUGCUGAGCAGAGGCACCCAGCAGAGACCAGAGUCUCCUGAACCUGAACCUGGACCCAGCUGUUUGUCCUUCAAGAGCGACCGGUCAAA